rnacentral:rRNA from 1 species
UUAAUUUGACUCAACGCGGAAAAGCUUAUCUGGUCCGGACGCAGUGAGGAUUGACAGACAGUUUCAGGAGUGGUUCUUGGUAAACAAUUGAGAGAGUUGAAGUUCUUUCAUGAUCUUGUGAGAGGUGGUGCAUGGCCGUUCUUAGUUCGUGUAGUGAUAUGUCUGCCUAAUCGCGUCACGAUAACCUAUUGGUCGACAACCCAAUUAUCACAACUGCAGCAUAACUCCCCUUGGGUGGGCGAGGCUCUGUGUAGGAUAGACCUCUGAACAGUACGCAACGAACGCGAUCGUAAUCCCUUGUUGAGUGGCCAUCCUGUAAGCUGCUGGAUUAGGAACCCAGUGGUAUUAUCUCAGCCACAGAUUUUCUGGUUGUAAUGGGCCAGUUUUGAAACUCGGGGAACAUCUGUGACUUUCUUUCUUAACGCAAGGAA